UUUCCUUCCUACACAGGAAGGAGGAAUGAGGGCCUGAGGAUGAGGAGGCCCUGUUUCACAUAGGUUCCUGGUUUGGCCACACACAUGCUUAGAUCUGGGAGCUUAGAACUACACCCAAGUCCUGCAAAUUAGCUGCAGUCCCAUGUGAAUGAGAAAGACACAUUUGUUGGUUUGUGCAGGCAGGAGCUGGUUUACUCCAACAUGCUAGUACUUCUGCAAUGUGUGCUCAAAAACUAGUUGUCUAUGUUUUCUGUUUGAGUAAAAAUAUGUUAUUGCAUGUCGUGUUCUUUAUAUAAUCUUGUGUUUUGCUUUGUGGUUCAGAAGCAAUUAGCUGAAGAGAGGAGACUCCCAGGCACAGAGUAAAACCUUUGUGUUACUGCAUGUUACUGGUUAGAUCUAGCAGUACCUAAAGGUUGUUGUCAUUAAUGUACAUGUGGCUAUGCAUGCAGGCAACAAUCUGCUUCUAAGAGGGAGAGGAGAAGCUUUCCAAAAUGUUUGGCACUUUUCACUGUUUUGCUAUUUAAUUGCUUCCCUUGAGAUAUAUGUAAAACAGUUCAGAAACAAACAGAACUGUUAUAAAUAAUGUAAAAGUAUAAUCUGAAUAAUACUGUGCAGUGCUCAAGUAGCAAGAUUUUGUCAGCCAGAGGGCUGCAGGGCCUUUGUGAGGUGGGGCCGGGGCGGCCCCAGGCUGGACAUAGCUGGUUCCAGCCUGCUCCAGUGGCCCCACCUCAGGGCAGGGCUGGGCCCCACCUCCAAGAUGGCGGCACCACAGGGAAAGUGUGCUUAAGAAAGUGUAGAAAAUGGCAGAAAGAGAGAGGAGGGCAGACAAAGAGAGUGAGAAACAUCAAGGAGCACUAAGACAGGAGGAGGAGCAGGAGGUGCUCUGUGACACCCUGCCAAAGGGACUGCUACUCAUGGAGAGGACUGAAAUACUGAUCUCAACUGACAGUAUGCUCAGCUGAGGCAGAGGUCUUCCCGCGCCCCUGGGCCGCGGCUGCCUCUGUCCGUGGUGCUGAAGCGCAACACCGAGAGAAGGCCCCACCCCGAGGCGCAGCGCGGCG
ensembl:lncRNA